rnacentral:ncRNA from 1 species
GAGAGCCGGAUGCGCUGAGAGGUGCAAGUCCGGUUCGGGAAAGAGAGAUUGGGAAAUAGUUCGACUACGCCCUAUCUCUUAUUUCAC